CAAGCAUUGGCUUAAAAUCAGCUGUUUACAUCUUCCGGUUUUAUCUGAAUCAUAAGAAAGGUAAGACUGUAUACUUGUUAUUAUUUACGGUUAAAAGGAACCUGUCGAUUUCUUUAGUAAUAUUAUACUUUUGUAUUAUUUACAAAUGCAUUAAAUGGAGAUAAGAUAUACGACGUUUAAUUUGUAUUGUGUUGUGUCGUAUUCUUAAUAUGUGACAAUGAACAAGAUUUUAUUAUCUGUUCGGAACUUCCGCGUCCUAUUUCCUUUUAGAAACAGUUUUCUUUGGUAUUUUUCGAAAUAGUAGUUACAAACGUUUUCGAUAAUUAAAAAAAUGUAUAUCUUUAAAUUAAUUGAAUUUUAAAAUUUAAUCAUUUUUAAAAAACGUUGUAAACAAACACCACAUCAAUUCAGUGCUGAAAAUAGAAUCAUUGAAAGGAAUUCUUUGGAUUACUUAGUUUCUAUCUAUUCUAUUAUAAUUGAUUUUUUUUUCAUUUGCAAAGUAACAAUAACAUCCGUUUACAUUUAAUAAAAAUUGAUAUAUAUGAUAAUGAAUAUGCGUUAAAUGGUACAAGUAGAUAUGUGUAUACACAUGUGUGGAUACAAACAGAUGUCCACUUACAUUACAGAUUAUCCCAUUUAUCAACAUCAUUUAAUUCAUGUUUCAUUAUCGGGUUUCGGGAUCUUGAUUGUAGUGUAUUUACAUACAUUUACACUGCGGGCACUGUAUUAUGAUACAUCAAGUUUCUUCAUGCCACUAUUGUAACUAUAUGUACAUUUACAUAAAUACCAUGUAUACGGUGUAAACUAGAAUAUCCAUCGAAAUAAAUAAACGAAGCUAACUUGGCCACAUUAAUUUAUCAGAAGUAAAGAAAGUUGUAAAUUCAGUAUUUUUCCCCAGCCAGAUAAGAUGUGUAAACACAGAGAUGCAUGUAUUAUACCCAUCACUAGUAAUAGAAAAUGACAUUCUGUACCUAAUGCAAGUGCAACGCAUAUAGGUUAAAAUAUGAUAUAUUGUAAAGUGCAGACAGUCAUUUUUCAGUCAGGUUUUGUACAUGAUAAUGCAUUUAUACUAAUUAAUAUGAAUCCAAUGUGCAACGUAAGUUGUCAAAUUGUAAAAUACACAAAUUGCAUUGGAUUUCCAUAAACUUGGUCCCCAAAUUAAGUUUUUCUUAAUUGUUAGAAAUAAGAUUUAACUAUAUAUAUUUCAGGGGCGGAUCCAGCCAUUUUAAAAAAGGGGGGUCUCAACCCAGCGUAAAGGGGUGGGUUCCAACUAUAUGCUCCCAUUCAAAUGCAUUGAUCGUCCAAAAAAGGGGGUCCAAACCCUGGACCCCCCCCCCCCCCCCCCCCCCCCACCCAUUAUAUGUACUUGAAUAUCCCCCUUUUCGGUCAAACAGACGUACCUAACCAUCCCCCCGAAAUUAAUCCUGGAAAUUUGACAAAUCAGAGUAAAAAUCCAAACAAGAUUAUAGUAUUACUUUUGAAAAAACUUGUGAGAUUGUCCAUUGUACUUCUGACCGGUGUUGAACUUUGAAAAGGCGGUUAACCUGCAUGGGCCAUUAUCACACUUAUAACAUAUAAUUUCACACUUAACCUCACACUUAUAACAUACAAUUUCACACUUAACCUCUUGAUUAAUGGUAUUAAGCCUACUUGUUUGCCUUUCAGUAGGAGACCUAUCAUAGAUUGUCAAAGUGACUUCAUAAGUAUUUAAUUUUAGCUUAUGUCGCAUUAAAGCAUGCUGAUAUAUUUAAUAUAAUCACAGCUGUCCUACAAGCUAAAUCUAUUAGAUAAAAAUCAUUAUCAUUAUAGAUUUUUCAUAUAUUUCAAACUGUGACAAAUGUAUUUCUUAUUGUAUUAUUUAGUUUAAAAAUUGAAAACAUCGCAUUGUUGCCUCAAAGACCACAUAAUUAUAUCCGUCGAACGACGAAAGGGGUACGUACUCUGCGGUUUAAACCUGAAUAAUUCUACGUCUGUCUUUUGUAAACAGGACAAGCCUACUUUCAGUAUAUGAAAAAAGUCAAGGCCAUAGAGUGAAAAGAAACUUCGCAUGGUUAUUAUUUACUCUUUGCAGGUACUUAACGGUCUUUGUUAAGAUAAGAUGUAAACACCUAACAGUUUAUAAAUUUAAAAGGUAAGUUAAAUUUUGAUUAUUUUCUUUGUUUAAUUUUUUUUUUCGCAAUGCCGAUAAUGUCAAUGUGUUCACAUUUGAUAUAUAUAACAUGGUUUGGAGAAUGAAAUACUAAAGGGUAUGAAUUAUAACACAUUUCUGUUUUGUUUUUCCUAAAACUAUGCAGUUUAAACCUUCGCGUGAUAAAAAGAAAGACUGAAUUUUAGUUGCGGAUCCGGGGAGUGUGUGUGUGUGUGGGGGUCCUUGUGGUUGUAAACCUCCUUUUUUUUGGAGACCAAUGCAUUUGAAUUGUUGCAUAAUAUAUAGUUGGAAUCCCCCCUUUAUCCUGGGUUGUGAACCCCUUUUAAAAAUGUAUAAGCAUACUUGGUUUGACUAAUUUAUGAGAACAAGGACAUGAUGAAAAUAUACGUCAAUAGGACAGCAAUUCUCUAAAUAUCAAUCAAACCACAAAAAAAAACCAUCAAAACGACAAACAACAACAAAUAUAAGGACGACCUUCCUUAUUUAGGACGGGCACCUGAGUACAUGUAUAUGUCGCGGAUAAACUUUAAAAUUUGUUUCUUUUUAAAUAUCACAACGUUUUUAAUAUAUUUAUAAUACAUUAUCCUCUUUCAAAGGAUUCUUUUUUCGAAUGUGACCUACCGAAUAAGACUUGCAUGUAUUACCGGCUUUGAAAUAACAUGAGAAAUACGAUGGGUGCCACAUGUGGAGCACGAUCUGCUUACCCUUUCGGAGCACCUGUGAUCAUCCAAAGUUUGUAUAGGGGUUAGUGUUGCUCAGUCUUUAUUUUUCCAUUUUGUGUUUCGAGUACUAUUGUUUGUCUAUUGGUCUUGUUCCUUUUUAGCUGCGUUGUCUAUUUAUUUUCUAUAUACAUAUGAGUUUGAUUGUCCCUCUAGUAUUUUUUGCCCCUCUCCUGGAUGUCCCUCUUGUAUCUUCUUACCUCCCUCCGACUAUUCCAAACAUACGGAACGGUGGAUAGAGAGUGCUUAACGCACUGCAAAAUAAGCAUAAAAUGAGGAAAUACAUGUUAAAAAUUUAUCAAGGCAAUUUUUCCCAAUUUCACUCAACAGUUUUAAAUCUUACUGAUAAACUUGUAUUAAACAGUACAAAUUAGUCAUACUUUGUUAUUGUACUAUAAUAAUAGUUAAAGUAGAAGUUAUAUGAUAGAGUUAUCUCUUAACCCUUUGUAUUCAGUAUAAUCACAGUACAUAUGUUAUAAAUCUGUUUAAACUGUGUUAAACUGUUUAUUCAAACUACUAUCAGACGCAGAUUUUUUUUAGUUCCUGGAGCGACAAGUACAUAUAUUUACAAAAAGUAACACAUUAAAUCUUAAAGAUGUUUGCUAGAGGUUAUAAUAUAUAUAGUCUGCUGAAUAUCUGGUAUAUAAAGAUAUUUGAAUUGUGUAAAAUUCAUGUCUUUACUUAAAAAGAACACAAGGUCCAAACAUCAAGUACAGUCACAAAAUAUCACAAAUUUCCUAGUUUUGAGAUCUCUUAUUUAAUUUUUAAGAAAUGUAUUGCAAACAAAUGGGUAAACAUUUACAACUAAUUCUCCAUAGGCGGUAAUAGUAACGUUUUCCUCCGUUGCUCAGUCCAUAUCGUUUACUUGAACAUGUAUGAUGGCUUAUAUCGAAGCUGAUACAUUUAUACAUGUCGGGUUAAAUUUUCGGGGUGGCAAGUGAGAUUACUUUUUUCGCAAAUUGCUGGACCCCGGAAGAUGGUAAAAAAUGUCACUCUCCUCAUGAAAUAAUCACCAAAUUAUGAUCAUAAAAUUCAAUAAAAAAAUUGUCCUUUCUAAUAAUUUAUUCCAGGUCAAAUCUACAUAUUUCUUUUCUCAUCACAUCAGCUCUAUAAAACAGUUCUUAUUGUUCAUUUAUGUCCAUUUUUAAAAUCACAGCAUCCACAAUUGUAUGGCGGACUAAUAUUUUUUUUUAAUUACGUCAUCUGUUCCUCUUAGGGAUCCUGACCCAAAUAUGCUACUGUAAAUUCAAAUGAUUAGAUGGUUAUUGUUAAACUAUCAUUAAUUUUAUUUACAUCUCCGCUCCUAAAGCUGAAUAUAGAUAUUUUUCUCUGUCUGUCCGCUCGUUCUAUCAAAUAUUACACUGUAGUGACCAUACUGCUUCCAUCUUGUUAAUCGCUUUAUUCAUAACCAAUUAACAUCGUUGGCUUUCAAAUAUUCGGCUUUGAGCGUCCCUAACGAGGGUAAAUCCAGAAAUGAGCUUCGUUCAUUGUUGAAGGUCGUACAGGGAUCUAUAUAGCUGUUAAUUUCUGUGUCAUUUUGGUCUCUUUUGGAGAGUUGUCUCAUUAAUUGGCAAUCAUCUUCUACUUCCUUUUCAUAUUCGGACGCAUUAAAUUUAUACAGUAUCAUUUUCACAUUUACGUCAUUUGGAUAUAUUCACAAGUUCAACUCUUAUUCGAUAGAUAUAAUUUAUUUGAAGAAAAACAGUGACGUAAGUGGGAUCAAAUUACCGUCACAUUUGUUUUAUCUUAUAUGCAAAACAAAAACUAGGUGACUAAAUUAAAUCAAACUUCAUAAAUAAAUAAAUAAAAGUACAGGUACAAUUAUAAUAAAUUAUAAUAAAUUUGACUGACAAUGACAUUGGAAUAUAGCUACAGAAAUUAAAACAGGAGUUACUUGAAAAUACCUGCACAAUUAGAGCAUAUACAAUUGUUUAUCUUGCUAAAAUAAUUUUGUAAUUAUCAUUUUAUUUGACACGAAUCAAAUAUCGUAUGUGUGUCUGACAUUUGAGUGACCCUUUCAAAGUAUACUACGUAUAAGUAUAUAUCAAGGUCCCGUUAUCACUUGUCAUAUAUACAUUGUACAUGUAUUAGUGCUACCGCGCAUACUGUGACAUUAAAUGUAUAUAUAUUAUAUACCGACCUGUAUUCAUGACAAAUAUCUUCUAAAACUUUGUUGACAUUAAAUUGGACAUUUUGAAAUACUUAUAAUCGAGAUUUUAAUGCGUGUAGAUAUAUAAAUUUACAUUUUUGCGAAUUUAUGAUAGUGCAAUGACCGAUAAUAAAUACGAUAUAAAUUAAGACCAAUUUCAAUUUUACCUACAUAUUUAUACUGAAGUAAACGUUGAUUUACAUGUAAAAUUUACUUGAAUUCAAACGCGUAUCAUAUCUUUUAAGCUAUCCGGACCAUAAGAACCAGCUAGCGCUGUGCUAGCUUAUGUCACCAACUUGCGUCCAUCUUACACUUUUAACAAAUCUGUUUUGAAACCAAUGGACCAACCAGAAACAACUUUGACCUGCUUCAUCCUGAUGGAAUCUACUCUAGAAAUGGCCACCAUAUAAAAGCUUAAAAUUGCAUCGAUUUGGUCAAAUGAAAAGUCAUAAAAUACCCUAUAAAAUGUAAUAAAUAAUUAAAAUACCUCUUUGAAAAAAGAACUAAAAUUAAAUGUUUUUAUAAUCCAACGGCCUUCAAACAUGUCACCCGUCGAUUCUUUAAUAAAAAUUGGACCAGAAAAAUGUGAAUAAAUAGCGCGAAUGUUCUAUUGCUACCAAACAUCAAGUGUAAUGAUAAAUUUAGGGUUUAAUAAUAGGGUGACCGCAAACAAACAUGCAUGGCUUUCCGUGAUCUUGAAAUUGAUAAUUGGACAAAAUGAAUUCUUAUAAAAUAAUUGUUAGAAAUAAUACUAAACAUUCAUCCCAAUAAACCUUGGAUUAAAUGAAAUAUGCAUGUACUAUCUUUAAGAAUGUUAACUAACGUUCAACCUUUUAACAUUGUCGCAAUCGUUAACUAAAAAAGAAAAUUGGAUGUACCAAAAUUGAUUUAAAAAAAAGAUGUGAAAAAUGUGAUGUGAAAAAUGUGAUGUUCAUGAUGCAUCAAUUGCCUUAAAACUAUGAUUAAGUUGUACAUUUAUACUCUUUUUGUUUAAGAUAUAUAGCUUUCAAAACUUGGUUAAAUAGAGUUUCUACGAUCUUCUGAAUGGAUCAUGUUUCAUUUUGAAACAAGAACAUGAACCCUAUUAUAAAUAGUCAAUAGAAUUUCUGGAAAAAAUAUGGUGGACCAAUAGUGACUAAAAUAAGUUUUAAGUGAUCUUUAUAUUGAUUAUUAAGAAAUGUGGUUGAUAAAUCCAUUUGCUUUCAAACAAGGCUUCCACAGUUACUAAAAAUAAAAAUUACACAAAAACUUCAAUGACAAAGCUGAGUCGUUUAAUUCUAUAUUAUAGUGGCUCUCAAUUUUGUACCUUUUAAAUGAAUCAUUUUUUUCAGGAGAGCAUGAACAUGAUUUACAUAUUAAUGACAUGGAUAUAUACUUAUCAGAUAUAUUUCAGCGUAUAAAUGAUUAUGUGUUGUAUUUGCAGGUCUUGAUGAGAUAUAACACUAGCUUAUCAUGUGUAUUCAUUGUACAGUUUUAGAACGUGAAUUAGUAGUUCAGUAAAGGU
rnacentral:lncRNA from 1 species